UACGUAGGGGCAAGCGUUGUCCGGAAUCAUUGGGCGUAAAGAGCGCGUAGGCGGCCCAGUAAGUCCGCUCUGAAAGUCAGGGCUCAACCCUGAAUGCGGGUGGAUACUGCUGGGCUAGAGUCCGGAAGAGGCGAGUGGAAUUCCUGGUGUAGCGGUGAAAUGCGCAGAUAUCAGGAGGAACACCAAUGGCGAAGGCAGCUCGCUGGGACGGUACUGACGCUGAGGCGCGAAGCGUGGGAGCAACAGG
rnacentral:rRNA from 1 species